rnacentral:rRNA from 1 species
AAUUGACCUCAAAUCAGGUAGG